UACAGAGGUCCCAAGCGUUGUUCGGAUUCACUGGGCGUAAAGGGUGCGUAGGUGGUGGGGUAAGUCGGAUGUGAAAGCUCGGAGCUCAACUCCGAAAUGGCAUUGGAAACUACCCUGCUAGAGGGUCGGAGGGGGGACUGGAAUUCUUGGUGUAGCAGUGAAAUGCGUAGAUAUCAAGAGGAACACCAGUGGCGAAGGCGAGUCCCUGGACGACUCCUGACACUGAGGCACGAAAGCUAGGGGAGCAAACAGG
rnacentral:rRNA from 1 species